AAAAAGAAAAUGGAAUAAACAGCUCACUGUCUCCCGCAGCCGGCGCGAUGGCUACGGUUGAACGAGGCUACAAUGACAACUGCAUUCGAUGAGGUGCCUGAAUCACGAUCAUUGCCGCGAACUAGCUACGACUCUGAAUCACGACCACGAUCGGCCCUACGAGCUAAUAAAAAAAAUUGAAUCGAUUGGCAAUGGUGGAUGGUGCGUGAGUGAUGGGCUGACAAUAGUGAAAUUGACAGAGUGAGACGAUGAGACUGGAGAGGGAGAUGGUGAGACCGUGAGAGAGAGGGAGAGACCAACGAUGGGAGAGAGUGGAAGUGAGCAUAAAAGAGAGAGAGAGAGAGACAUGAGAUGGAGAGAAUGAGAGUGAGCGUGUGAGAGAGAGGGGGGCCAUGGCUGCUGCUGUGCUUGUAGAAUUAGAAAUGAGGUCAUGAUUUUUUUGUUUUAUAUUUUAGCCAAUUAGGAUUUUUUUUAUAAAUAUUUUACACGGUUACAUCUAAAACCGUCAUUGUUAUUUUUAACUUAAAUGACGGUUCUUUACAACCGUCGUUAAUACUUGAAUAAGACAUAUAAUGACGGUUUUUAUAUAUAACUGUCAUUAAAAUAAAGUUAUAUUUUGUUUUGAUAUUUAAUGAUUGUUAUAUAAUAAAAUGAUUAUAAAAAAAUUAUACUUUUAAUGAUCGUUUUUAUACAAAAACAUCGUUAAAAGUAACUAAAAAUAAAAUUAUAUUUUAACUUGACAUUUAGUAACUGUUAUAUAAUAUAAUCGUCAUUGUAAAUAUUAUACAUUAAUAAUCAUUUUUAUACACAAAUGUCAUUAAAAAUAAGACUAUUUUUUACUUGACAUUUAAUAAAUGUUAUAUAAUACAAUCGUCAUUGUAAAUAUUAGAUAUUAUGACGGCUCAUAUAAUAACGAUCAUCGCAUAUUACCUUAUUGUUAACUUUUUAUUCACACGAAAACAUAUAUUAAUUUCUUAUCUUUAGUGCUCCAUUUUUUAAUUUUAAUUUUAAUUUAUAUGAUUAAUUUAAUUUAUAUGAUUAAUUUAAUUUAUAAUGAAUAUGAAUAAAAUUGUAUUUGAAAACAAGAGUAAUAAUAUAAAAUUAUACUUCUAGGGAGGUUAUAGGCUAUAUAAAAACAAUAAAGGGGUAUACAUACAUAAACUCUGGCUGUGUACGUUGUCCUGAAAUACCUUUACUGAGAAAUGAGAAGGAAGGAUACAAUAUUGAAUUUUCUUAGCAAAUAUUUGAUACUGGCUGCAUUUCCUAAUGCGACAACUGACUAGAACAUUCACUGUAUGUGAAUGUUUUAGAAAGAAAAUUGUGCUAUUUUUGUAGAGAUGAUGAGAAAUUUCAACAUUCAAAAAAAUAAAUAGGAGACUUAUUCAAUCUCGGUGGCGUCUCACCAUUUAAUUUUAUGGUGCAAUAAGAGUCCUUGCUCUUUCCUGGAAAUGUAGGAAAGGGGGAUAUUUCGCCAUCCAACAGUGCUUUACACAAAGCAACGUUUUUGGACUCCAGUUAGUAGUAGGCAAUUCGCACUUUACUUGUACGAUCAAAUAUUACUAUAUUAGGCAAUUUGUACUUGACUUGUAUGAUGAAUACGACCGGCAAUUGAUUUGCACUCGACUUUUAUCACGAAUUUGCUGGAAAUAAUAAAUUCGAAUUUGUAGAGAUGUCAAUCUAUUUGUCGGUAAAAAUAUCAUAUUUUUCUUGUAUGUUGUUUUACUUUUUUUAAUGUUUCAUUCAACACAAUAAAUAAUAUAUGGUAUUAAAAGGUUAUGGUGGAUCAAAGUGGUAAAUAUAGCUUCUAAGAGUGAGAAAAGUGUCCUUCACAUAUUCACAGCCUACAUGAUGGUGAUAUUCGUCGCAGUUUUGCCAAAUUCCAUCAUUUAGAUAUUUAAAUAUUUCAUUUUCAAAUUACUUUUAGAAAUUUUAGGUAAUUCAUCAUUUUGUUAAAAAAACUCCAAUGCCAUCUCAUGAAGAUGCAAUUACAACAAAUGGUACAAGGAAUUAAUAAUCAAUCAGCUCCUACCUGUACGUGUCAUCGAUCAAGGAAUUUAAGCAGCACCAUUCCACAUGUAUUUAAAUACUUAAGAUUAUUAAAAGACUAUAUAUACAGUCCUUCUAUCUCAUAGGCUGGUCCCAUUUUUUUUUUUUAUACAGACACACUCUUAAGGCAUAUGAUUUAAUAAAAUCAAUAUUUAAUAUACUAUUAAAACAUGUGGUUUAAUAAAGUUACUAUUUAAUUAAUUGUAAAAUCAUAUGACUUUAUAAUGUUUACACGUGAAAAAAAAGGGGAGCGUUGCAGGUGCCCUCAUUUUUUUUUUAUACAGACACUUUCAAGCCAUGCAAUUUAAUAGAAUCAAAUUUUAAUACUAUUAAGCUGCACGACUUUAUAGUGCUUAAAAAAUAAAUCAAUUUAGCUGCACGACUUAGCAAUAUAUUCGUAUUAAAAAAUAAAAAAAUAAGGGCACCCACACCUUAUAUAUAUGGCUCAUUUUCUAGUGCGGGUGCCUUUAUUAUUAUUUUUUUUCAUACGGACAUGCUUUUUAACCAUAAGAUUUGAGAGAGUUGGUUUUUAACUCUCUUAAACUCCAAGACUUUAUGUUCAUUCAAAAACUAAAUUUCUUAAACCUCACAGUUUAAAAGCAUUUCUAUGUUAAAAAGAACAUGGAUCCCGCAACUGAGAAUGAUUAUAUAUAUAUUAGUCAUGGGACAUUUUCACAUUUAUGAUUAUGUGUUUAAUCCCAUGUAGCGAUAACCUAUUUAAUUGGAACAUUAUUAGCACCGAUGCCUUUCAAACAUGUAACUUACUCAAUUUGAACACGUGAUGAUUUCUGUUUAUGGUUGGGGCUGCUCGAUCAAAGUUUCUUUAUUAGCUGAGAUAGCCCCCCACCUUGACCCUUUGAGACAUGCUUGGACGUAUGUUAAUAACAGAAUAUUAAUUAAUGUUAGCAAUUUCCACACACACACACUAUAUAAAGGUUUAGCGUUCCAUAAACUAAGCACUACUCUUCAGCAUCCAUACAGUACCUUGUUAGUUUCUCCAUUAUAUCCUAAUUAGCCUAAGAAGAUGGGUUCAUUCCAAGAUGAUCACCAAGGCAUGUUGAAACCAGCAGGGGAUGAGCAAGACUUCUUGUUGGCCAUGGAACUCGCUUCCGGCGCAGUACUUCCAAUGACCAUUAAAUCUGCCACUGAGCUUGGUUUGUUGGAGAUAAUGGCGAAAGUUAGCCCAACUCAACUCUCGUCUUCAGAGAUUGCCUCUCAGCUGCCCACAAAUAACAAAAAAGCCCCAAUAAUACUGGACAGAAUGCUGCGCCUCCUAGCCAGUUACUCUUUUCUCACAUGUAAUCUUGUCUCGAACAAAGACGGAAGUGUUCAGAGAUUAUAUGGCUUGACACCGGUUUCCAAAUAUUUUGUUCCAAAUGAAGAUGGAGUUUCUCUUGCUCCCACUCUGCUCAUAAUUCAGGACAAAAUUAGUAUGGAUUCUUGGUAAUUUGCUUUCUAAUUUCCUUGUACUCACAUUAAUUGUAUCUGUAGACGUUAUAACAUAAUAUAUGCACUCAAUUAAUUAAUACUCAUAUGUGUGCAUGAUAUCUUCUGACAGGUCCUGCGCGAAGGAUGCUUUAUUGGAAGGGUCGGUACCAUCUAUGAAGGCACAUAAUGGAAUGGAUUUAUUUGCGGCUGCCGCCAAAGAUGAAAGAAUAAAUAACCUCUUCAAUCAAUCAAUGCACAAUCACACAACUAUAGUCAUGAAGGAAAUUCUUGAGAUCUACAAGGGAUUUGAAGGGCUGAACCAAUUGGUGGAUGUUGCCGGUGGCUUAGGUGCAAAUCUUAAAUCAGUUGUUUCUAAAUAUCCACAAUUAAGGGGGAUUAACUUUGAUUUACCUCAUGUCCUCAAACAUGCACCCUCUUGUCCAGGUAUAUAAUUAUUCACGUAUACGUCACUCGUUGCCAGCUUAUUUAAUUUUGUAGAUCCUCCUCUUACGUAAAAUUUUUUCGAUUAAUUAUCAUUUUAAAAACAACGACAAUUUCAUUUUUUUCCCUUGUGUUUUAAUUCUCUUGCAGGUGUGGAGCAUGUUGGAGGAGAUAUGUUUGUUGAAGUUCCUAAAGGACAAGCUAUUUUCAUGAAGGUUAGUUCUCUACUUAAUAUUUAAUUAUUGAAAUAGAAAAUAAAAUAUUGAUUAUGUAUGUCAAUUCCGAAAAUUUUGAAAUUUCACGAAAUGUUCAUAAAAAUUAAACUCUCAGUGGAUACUUCAUGACUGGAGCGAUGAAGACUGUUCGAAGAUACUAAAGAACUGCUACGAAGCAAUACCGGAAUCCGGAAAGGUCAUUUUGGUGGAAUCAAUAGUGCCAGAAUUCCCCGAGACUGAUAUUGUAAGCAAGAAUAUAGCAAGUCUUGACGUACACCUCUCCAAUCAAUUUCCCGGAGCAAAGGAGAGGACAUUGGCGGAGUUCAAGGCCUUGGCAACAGGAGCUGGAUUUGCAGAUAUUAAAGUUAUAUGUCGUGUUUACUGCUAUUGGGUCAUUGAAUUCUACAAAACGAUCUAAGCAUAACGAUUUACGAGUGCUGGUCAUUUUAUGGUUCGCAUGCAUUUUCUUUUUCUUUUUUUAAAUUAAAUGACAGAAUCCUGUCCUUAUUCUGUCUGAUCAACACUUCUAUCUCUUCCCACGUUUCAAUAAUUUCUAGGCAUUGUUCAUUUUGUUCCUCCAUGACUUUUGUAAUUUCAUUUCUUAUAGCAAUAAUAAACCCGCCUCUUAUUGAGAUUUAUUAAAAAUAAUUUGCUUCAUUUCUCAUAAUUGUGCUUUACAAAAUAUCCAGCUAUAGGUGCUCAUAGUCCAAACCAGUGCACCCAGUUCUGGAAAUUCCAAUUCAUAUGUUUUUUUUCAAUCUAGUGGAUUGGUUGAUAGGAUAUGAUUUAAAAAUUUUCCCAAUUGGUGGAUUGAAUACAAUUUGUAGUAUUGUAAGUGACAAUAAGGUUUGCAAAUUGAUUAAUAAAACAAAUCAUUUGAAAAAAAUAAAAUCACAAGUACGAUUAUCGGCAUAAAAUAUUGAAAAAAAAUUAGAGAAAGAUAGUAGAAUUGUUUACUGACAGAGGGAUUUGAGGUUGUUUAAAAAUGAUCAUUUGGAAAAUUUCUAAUUAAUAAAGAGUGUGGAGCAUCGUCUGCUUGAUGACCGGGCAUGCUAAAAUAAGCUUGGUCAUAUUUCAAAAUUUCACGGUCGCAUUUUGGGGAGGAAAAUGGACGGGGCCCAAACAUUGUUUUCGGGGAAGCCCAAGCCAAACUUUAUUUUUCCGAGACCAGGUCUUGAAAAGCCCAUCACAUAAUUGGGCGACCGUGUAUACUGUAUAGUAGAGUUUUCCAAUUUCAACUUAUACCUUAGAUUUUUUUCUUUUUUUUUUAAGAGUAAGUUCAAAAGUUUCAUAUUUCUCAAAAAACUUUUAAUCGAAAUGAGGCAACAAAAUGCUCACAUUCUUUCGAUUAUCAUUCUUGAAAUGGUCCAGCUACGUUACCCUUGAGGUUUGGUGCCCCAUUUUUUGUCUUUUUCAAAUUCACCGUUGGAUGUAACCCAAGAGUUGUAUAAUGGGUUAGAUGUGAUUUUAGGUUAUUAACAUUAAAAGCCCUUCUUGUUCAUACAAAAUAAGAAAAAUAAAAAAUUUUAAAAUUAUUACAUAUAAGUCCAUAAUAUUCUAAUUUUUUUUACACUAUUGAACUAGAUUUCUAAUUAAAUAACUUAUUCUUACAUUUAUUAAUAUAUAUUUCAAUUAAUAAAUUUAAUUAUUCAUUAAAAAAUUAACUAAUUUAUUAUAUAGUUAAACUAUGUAUAUUAUUUAUGAACCAUAAUUAAUGAUAAAUAUAAAUAUAAUUUUUUUUUAAAUUUUAACAUAACGGCAACCAAUUUCCUCUCAACCAUGUGACCAAGGUUCAAACCUCAUAACUUUUUUUAUUCCAACACAAGAGAUUUUACUAUCUCAAGUAAAUGUAAUGUACAAAAUACGGAAAUAAAUUUAAUUUGAUAUUCUAUGUAGUUAAUUUUCUUUUGUAACAUAAGAUUUAUUUAACAUGCUAUCAAUUAUUUAAUUAUGUAAUAAAGUGUUAGUUUAUGAAUUUGUAAAAUAAUUUUUAUUUGUUUGAACAAUGAGUUUGUAUUUUUGGUUGAGUUUUUUUCCUUAAAUAAAAAGAAUAAAUUUAAUUGCACACUUAAAUAAAUUGAUAUUUGUUACUCCACCCCAACAGUUUAAAUAGUCAUCAGCACACAUCCAUACGGUUGAGAUCUUUCAUUAACUUAACUGAGAGAAGGUUAAAUUCUAAACAAUUACUUUAUUUGAAAUAAUUUAAAUAUUUCCUUAGUAAAAAUAAACUAAAAAAUAAGUAUUUUCUAUUUAUUCUCUCUUGCUAACAUCGCACAUGCACAACAAUAGAGAUGGCAAUUUAGCACAUAUCUAUCAAUUAAAAUAUAAGUAAAUUAGUAUAAUUAAUUGAAUGAUUAAUCGUGUUAUAAACAAGUUUUCAAAUUAAGAGUUUUACAAAGCAGGCAAUUGUCUUUAUUUCCUAUUAAAGCUAUUGUGCCUCAAAUUCAAUCACACAAUCCAAAAACUUUUCUUUCAAUUUAUUGGUGUUUGUGUGUAUAAAGAGAAUAAGUGCUUGAAUUUAUAGGUGCUUGAAUUCUAAACAAAUCGUUGGGGGAUUUGGAGUGCAAGGAACCAGUUUAUUUUUAAGCUGAAGAAGGAAGAACCCCAGAUCGUGCUGGCAAAAGCUAAAGCUAUCCUAAAGUCCUAUAAACGAACCCAUGUGCCAGCACCAAUUCACAUGGAUCAGCAGACAUGUAAGGCACAACAAAAUUGGUCCCCUCCUCCAGCUGGUUAUUUUAAGCUAAAUGUGGAUGCAGCCACAAACCGAGACAAUCAAAUAUCAGACUUGGAUGCAGUCUACAGGUUGCUGGGAAUGCAAAGCUACCCUCCUUAAUUGUUGAGACAAAUUCUCAAGAGGUAGCAGGUUUUGUGAACAACAGACAGAACAUCAUGAAAGAGAUUUUCUGGGUAGUGGCAGCAAUUCAAAGCUUAAUGAAGAAUUUUACUCAGAUUAAAGUUCAAUACAUACCUAGAUCUUGUAAUGCUAUUGCUCACUUUCUAGCUAAGUUAGCAAUAGAGAAAUGUGAAAAUGUUGUUUGGAUGUGUUCAUACCCUUCAGAACUUAUGUCCUUGUUUGCUUCUUUCAAUUAAUGAAAGUUUAUUUCCCUUUCAAAAAAAAAAAAAAGAAUUCUAAACAAAUUGUGGCAUCGAGAAGCCGUAAUGCAAUUGAAAAUUUUUAGGUGCAGGACUAAUGUGUGAAAAUUUAAAAGUUUUUAGUUUUUCGGUUUUUAUAACAAAUAACAUGACUCUUUUGGGGGAAUAAGUAAUAGAAUCAGAAGAGAAAAAAAGGACGACAAGAAUGAUUAAAGACAUUUUUUUUCAUUUGGAGCAAUUAGCUAGUUAGUUAUGUGCAAUACAAAUUAACAACACACCUCUGCCUACCUAUUUAUAAUGUGUUGAUCCGACCUUUUAUUGACUUUUUUUUAAUACAAUUGGUGAUUAUUGCUUAAGAAUAUAAAACUAAUUAGAUUUUAACUAUAUAUUACUAUAUAUUCACGCAUGUUAGAAAAUUAUGGUGGAAAAUUAUGAAGAAUUAAACACUGAUUAGCCCAAUAUUGAACCUAAAUCCAUGAGUUGUAUGAUAUGUGGGCGGAUGACGUUCCCGUUAUAGUAUGAGAAGGCCCUUAGGCCCAAAGGCGGAGCUACCUAAUUCCUAUGUAGGCUCAAGCAAAUCACCUUUUUUUUUGGUAAAUAAAUAAAAUAUCAUGUAAAACAAUAAAAGUUUAGAACCACAUUAAUGAUCAAGCAACCUCCAACUACGAAAACUUUUACCUUCCACUUUAUUGUUUUAUCUUUAAUUUACACAAAAAUAAAUUAUUCAAUUUGUUUCUCUUUCAUAAAAUAUUUUAAUUAGCUGUUAAGAAAUCCAAGAUCCAAUGGCAUCAACCGAUGUUCAGGACAUGGAAAAGAGCUUAGCAAUAUCAAAAUUGAUUAUUUUAUUAAAACUUAUACAAUAUUUUUUUAAAAUUUAUUGGACAUUAAAGAAAUAUCCGAGGACUAAUCUUUCUUGUUGUUGUUGUUGUUAUUAUUAUUAUUAUUAUUAGUUUUUAACGUGAAUGAUUCCGUUUGGAAUAGAGUUUUAUUUAAAUAUAAAAAGGAACAACAAAAUGAGACAACAUUUUAGAGAAACAUAAUGAACCAUACUCUUAAUCAAUAAUGUUUGAGAUCUCAAUAUUUGAUUCAUAACUUAAAUCUUAAUAUUAUGAAUCAUUCAUUUAUUAGACGAUGAAUGUAAUUAUUUAUUAUUUAUUAUUUAUUAUCUUAUAAAUAAAUAAAUGACAUGUAAAUUAAGACUCAAGUUAGGAGUAAAAAGCUGAGAUCCCUAACAUGACUCACUUUUAAAUGAAAGCAGUAAAUCACCCUUGCAGUUAUUAUUAUGAUGCUCAAACAAGAAAUACAUAUAAACGCGAACAAUCCAAGUCUUCAUGUAAACUCGGUAGCUACAAGCAUGAGACGAUUCUUCUUGUGCUGGGUAAAUCCGGGCUUAACUUCAUAAUCCAAGUCAUCAAUCUCCAUUCCACGCGGCAUUGUCCAAUCAAAUUUGUAAAGAAGAUUGGCAAGUGCAAGCUCCACAAUCGGCAUUGCUAUGGGUAAUCCUGCACAAAUUCUUCUACCGGUACGAAAUGGGAGAAAUUCAAAGUUUCGCCCUCCCAUAUCAAUAUUAGAGCCCACAAAUCUCUCAGGAAUAAAUUCGUCUGGUUUAUCCCAAACUUGGCCGUCCCUUCCUAUUGCCAGCACAUUAACGAAAACCGUUGUCUUAGCUGGUAUGUGAUAACCAUCGAUAAUGCGCCUUUCUGUGGUUUCUCUUGGAAGGCAAUUCGUACUUUACUUGUAUGAUCAAAUAUUAGGCAAUUUGUACUUGACUUGUAUGGUCAUCGUUACAGGCAAUUAAUUUGCACUCGACUUGUAUCAUGAAUUCCUUGGAAGAAAUAAUUAGUUCGAAAUUUAUAGGGAUGUCAAUCUACUUGUCGGUAAACAUGUCAUAUUUAUCCUGUAUGUUGUUUUUUUUUUUUUUUUUUAAUGUUUCAUUCAAUACAAUAAAUAAAAUAUGGAAUUCAAAAGUUAUAGUGGAUCAAAGUGGUAAAUACAGUUUCUGAGAGUGACGAAAAUGUCCUUUAUAUAUUCACAGCCUAUUAGAUGGCGAUAUUCGUCACAGUUUUGCCAAAUUCCAUCAUUAAGAUAUUUAAGUUUCAUUUUCAAAUUUCUUUUAGAAAUUUUAGAUAUUUCAUCAUUUUGUAAAAAACCUCGAAUGCAGUCGUGUCUCUCGUGAAGCAAAUCUCAAAGUGUCAAAGUGGGAGAGCCAUCUCAUUGUUUUAAAUUAAUAUGCAAAAAGCAGCCGACGUCUAUCGACACUGUAACUGUAAAGGAUGCGAUUACAACAAAUGGUACAAGGAAUUUAUAAUCAAUCAGCUCCUACGUAUACGUAUCAUCGAUCAAGGAAUUUAAGCAGCACCAUUCCUCAUGUAUUUAAAAACUUAUAAUUACAUAUAUAUAUAUAUAUAAGCUUGUCAAAGCUUUUAAGCUUGUAAAUCACAAAUUAUAGGUAGAGCAAUUUAGAAUUAAAAUAUACUAUAGCAAUGAUGACUUACAUCCGCUAUUUGCAUAGACUAUCACUCAAAUCUGGUGAUUCGAUAUUCUCAAUUGAUGAAAAUAUGCAACAUGUUUAAAAUAAAUCUUGCAUGCUAACAAAAUAAUAAAUAUUGAGCAAAGAAUUUGUACCUUUGCCCCUGGUCAAUUUGAUAAUGAUCUCGAAAAUUUUGAUGGCCAUGAGAAAAUCAACUAACGACCAACGCUUUAUUAUUGAUGUUGUCGGAGGAUUACCAAAUUGAGAAGGAAGUGCUAAAAUCUUGAAUGGCGUUGAGAACUUAAAAAAUCUGAAAUGGAACAUUUAAAAUAGAAAGAAAAUAUAAUUAUCAAUACUCAAAGAUAGUCCAUGCUUUGUGGCUUAAAAACUUGAGUGGAAAACCCAGCAAAAAAGAAAAGCAAAACAGUGUAAUUUCACUGGUAUUUUUGCUGCUGUCAUGCAGUAAAAACAUAGUAGUCUUACUGCAAAGUUUUUGCAGCUGUUUUUACUGUAUAACAGCGGCAAAACAGCAAAAGAAACUAUAAUUCGGCUGCUGUUUUACUGUUGUCAUGUGGUAAAAUAGAGCAGACUUGCUGCAAAGAUUUUGCAGCUGUUUUGACUGUAUAACAACAGCAAAAACAGCACAAAAAAACUACAAUUUGGCUGCUGUUUUUACUGCUGUCAUGCGGUAAAACAGAGCAGUCUUACUGCAAAGUUUUUGCUGCUGUUUUGACUGUACAACAGCAGGAAAAACAGAAAAAAAAAAUUGUAAUUUGGCUGCAGCAAAAACAACAGAAAAACUAUAAUUUGGCUGCUGUUUUUACUGUUAUCAUGCGGCGAAAAUACAGCAGUCUCACUGCAAAAAUUUUGCCUCUGUUCUUACUGUAUAACAAUAGCAAUACAUCACCUUAAAUAAGAGAAAAAAAUUCUUUCAGCUACUGCACAUUCAAUUUAAUUUAGCUUAAAUCCUUCAUAUUGUAGAGAGUGAGAGAUUGAUUCUAUAGAAUAAAGAGAAAUUAAGAUAAUUCAUAAAUUAUAAGCCAGUAUCUUCACCAUGACUGGCAACUUCCGCAAGCAAUUCAUUUGCUCUUUACCAUGAGGACUCAUCAGAACUGAAUAAGCAAACAACACCCUUAUAAAAGAAUGAAUCUAAGUCUGAUAUGAAAUGAGCAAAACCUAGGUUAUGAGCAGCACAGAAGUGCAAAAAGAAAAAGGGAAUGUCUUUCUCUGUAAAUACAUGUAGGCAGAUGCAUGCAAGGGAAAGAAGAAUGUCUUUCUACAUUCUCAAGGCUCCAAUUGAAGCACUAACAGGUACAUUUAUGCAAAAAUAUAAGAAGAAAAAUAAUGUAUGAUACCUGUAGUCCCUGAGGAGUAAACAAAUGUAUUUCGAUACGUGUACAUUUCCUGAAAGAAGAUUGAACUAUAAAUAGACUGCCAAUGGAUCAAAAUGCACUUUCAACACAAAAUCCAAUUAAUUUUGAAGAUGGCGCAAAACAAUUAGUUGAAAAUUGUACUCGUGACACCAGAAUGAUCAUCUUAUUAUAUCAUUAGCAAAUGAUUACAACUUGGUAUUUAUACUAAAUGAAAGAAGAAUCUUGUAGCUUAACAGUUUGUUGGAUCUAAUAUGCAUGCAAUACAAUUCGUUUGCUUUGCUGCUGAGCUGGAUAACUAACUAACACACGUAAGCAUUACCAGCUGCUUCAUUUAAUCAGAUGCCCUCAUCUAUACCAUAUUAUCAUACUCUGUAACAUCCCCCCUCAAGCUAAACUGACCUGGAUGGACAUUCAGCUUGCUUCUUAGGUAGUGAAACUGGUUGAAGGUUAAAGCCUUGGUAAGAACAUCUGCAUUUUGGUCUUCACUGGGAAUGAACUGAACUGUAAUUUGCUUAGCUGUUACUUUGUCCCUGAUGAAAUGAAUAUCAAGCUCAACAUGCUUAGUUUUAGCAUGAUAAACUGGAUUGUGAGCUAGAGCUAUAGCACUUUGAUUAUCACACCACAUUAUGGGGGCUGUGACUAGAUUAAUAUGCAGCUCUCUCAGUAAGGAUUGAAUCCAAGUGAUCUCAACUGUAGCUUGAGCCAAAGCUCUGUAUUUAGCUUUAGUGCUCGAUCUGGAAACUACUGCAUGUUUCUUAGAUGACCAAGAAACCAAAUUUGAACUAAGAUAAAUAGCAUAUCCAGCCACUGAUUUGCGAUCAUCUUUAUCACAUGCCCAAUCUGAGUCACUAAAACAAUUUAUCUGCAUAGUGCUGCAAUGAUAAAAGUGUAAUCCAAAAUGAAUUAUUGCUUUCAAAUAUCUAAGAAGGCUCUUGCAAGCCUCCCAGUGCUCUGCUGUUGGUGAAGCUAGAAACUGACUAAGUUUAUUUACAGAGAAGGCUAUCUCUGGCCUAGUGAGAGUCACAUAUUGUAAAGCUCCAACUAUACUUCUAUAUUGAGAAACAUUUGAAAUAACAUUUCCUGACCCUUUUGUAAGAUAAUGACCAGUUGACAUGGGAGUAGGAACUGGACUGCAGUCAGCUAUAUUGUGUUUGGCUAGAAGAUCAGCCAUGCAUUUUGACUGAGAGAGAUACAUUCCAGCUGCUGUUUUGGUAACUUAUAUCCCAAGAAAGAAAUUUAGUUUUCCCAGAUCCUUCAAAGCAAAUGCAUUUUACAUAUUUGUAACCACUUGCUGCACCAGUUGAUCACUGGAGUCUGUUAUGAUUAUAUCAUCCACAUAGACAAGGACAAAAAUUACAUGAUCACCUGUCCAUUUGUAGAAAAAAGAGUUGUCUGACUUUGAAUUUUGAAACCUCCAUUGCAUAACCAUAUCAUCUUUCAGUUUCUCAAACCAUGCCCUGGGGGCUUGUUUUAAACCAUAAAGUGCCUUCUUCAACUUACAGACAUGAUGAGGUUGAGAUAGAUCAAUAAAGCCAUCAGGCUGCCCCAUGUACACAUCUUCAACUAAUAUGCCAUUCAAAAAUGCAUUAUUCACAUCCACUUGUCUGAGCUCCCAUUUAUUCAUGACUGCCAAAUUUAAAAUAACCCUGACUGUUGAUGCUUUAACAACUGGACUGAAUGUUUAUGUGUAAUCAACUCCUUGUGUCUGAUGAAACCCCUUAGCCACCAAUCUGGCUUUGUAUCUAGAAAUGGUUCCAUCGACAUGAUAUUUUAUCUUGAAUAUCCAUUUGUUUCCAACUACCUUAACUGGUUCAUUUGGCAAGACCAGAUCCCAAGUAUGAUUGUUUUAGAAGUGCCUGAUAUUCUUCUUGCAUUGCCUUAAACCUUUUUGGAUAAGAUAAAGCUGCUGAAACAGAAGUAGGUUCUGAAGGUGUGGCUAGUAAAGCAGCUAGAUAGGAUUUAGGCUUAAAAAUACUGGCCUUGGAUCUGGUUAUCAUAGGAUGACUUAUAGGUGGUGCAGUAGGUAAUAUAUGAGGUGGAGAUUGUGUAGUAUGUAUAGGAUGUGUAUGUGAUGUUGAAGAAGAUGAUGAAGAAGAAGUUGAAGAUGUAGGGAAUACCUGUGGAGUGUCAGCAAGUAGGUAAUCAUUUGCUGGAGGUACUUGCAGAGGGGAUUGUACUUGUGGUAUUGAAACAAGAGUGACUUUGGACUCUGAAGAAAUAUCUGAGGAACUGCAAGACUGAGCAAUGGAAGAGAAAUCUGACCCAGACACAUAUGGAAAAGAUUGUUCAUCAAAGAUGACAUGGUUUGACAUAUAUACACGUCCAGAUGAAUGAAGACAUUGAUACCCUUUAUGAGAAGAGCUAUACCAAAUAAAGACACACCUGUUUGAUCUAAAACCAAGCUUGUGACUGUUAUAAGGUCUAAGAUAAGGAUAGCAAGCACACCCAAAGACUCUAAGAAAUGCAUAAUCUGGUACUUGCUGAAAAAGUUUUUGAUAAGGUGAAAUGUUGUUCAAAGUUGGUGUGGGUAGUCUGUUGAUAAGGAAUGCAACAGUAUGAAAAGCAUUCCACCAGAAUUUAAAUGGCAAAUUAGCUUGAGCUAACAGAGUGAGGCCAAUGUCAACUAUGUGUCUGUGUUUUCUCUCAAUUCUUCUAUUUUGAUGAUGGAUAUGUGGACAAGGAUGCCUGAACUGGAUUCCAAACUAAGUGAGAUAUGAUGAAAAGGUUCUAAACUCCCCUCCCCAAUCUGUUUGAACUGUUUUGAUAUGUUGUUGUAAGUGUUUUUCAAUGAAUGAUUUGAAUUCUGUGAAAACUUGAAGCGCAUCAAAUUUGGCAGACAAAGGAAAAAUCCAUGUAAAUCUGCUAAAGUCAUCUAAAAUGGACAAGUAAUAUAUAUAGCCUUGAGUGGAGGCAACAUGUGAUGGUCCCCAAAGAUCAGCAUAUAUGAGUUGUAAUUGUGCUGUUGUUUUUGUUGGAACAAAUCCAAAAUGUAAAAGAUGACUUUUACCAUGCUGACAGGCAUUGCAAAAAUUUGGAGUUUUAUUGAGUACAUUGUGACUAUUACAAGCUUUCAAUACAGAUUUGAGUGUGUGUAAGGCAGGAUGUCCUAGCCUUUUAUGAAGAAGAUUGAUAUCAACUGAACUAGUAUUGAUAGCCAAGGCUGAUUUACACAGCAAAUGAUUAAAAGAAGUACUCUUAUUUAUUUCAGAAGAAACAUCACUAGACAAAGGAGAAUGAUAAGCAAACAAAGACUGAGGUUUAUUGGAAGAAAGUUGACAUGACAAAGCUGAGCUAGUUUCAGAGAAUUGAGCUGCAGAUUGGACUUGAUACAAUCCCCCUGUUGCAAUUCCUCUAAGUGAAAUGAUCCAUGAGUUCCUGGCCUUGACAACACAAACAUUUUAAAAAAACUCAAGUGUCACAUUGUUAUCUACUAAGAGUUUUGAAACACAGAGUAAAUUCUUUUUAAUAUUUGGAACAUGAAAAACAUGGUUUAAAGACAAGGGUUUAUUUGUAGUAGUAGCUAGCAAUACUGAUCCAAUGUGUUUAAUAUGCAAUGCAGAACCAUUUCCAACAAGCUAUUUGUCAGUUCCAACAUAUGGAUUAAGAUCCAGUAAUUUACCUGAAUCAUUUGUGAUGUGGUUAGUAGCACCACUGUUAAUAUACCAGGCUGGAUCUUCAAUCAUCUCAGGUGCAUGAGCUGGAGCAGGAACUGAAGGAAUUGAGAGUGAUCAUGGAGAUCCAGAGUAAUCUCCAGUUGGAACAAAAGCAUGUGCAAGGGAGUAAACACCAUGAGAGUUAGUUUGUUAGUAAACAUUGAAUGCAGCUGGAUCCGAGUACAUCAAAUGACCUUGAUAACCAGGUGCUCUUGGUAUGUUGAAAUUCCCAAACUGAGAGUUACCAAUUCCAGCACCAAAUUGAGGAUUAAAAUUUCUACCAAAAUUUCCAUAAAUCAUAUAAGAUCUAUGACCAUUUGCAUAGCCAAAUCCUCUACCAUACUGCCUCUGACCAGGCCUAAAAUUUCCAUUAAAACCACCUCUUCCUUGAUUUCUUGAAGAAACAAAGGUUGAAUUAAACAUAUUUCUGCAUUGAUUGGCACUAUGACCAGGAAUAAAGCAGAUCUGACAAACAAUUUGUGAGAAGUUACCAUCACCAGAUCCAGCUCCAGAAUUAUAAACUCCUCCAUAAGGUCUAGUGUUAAACUUUUGAUUGUCACCAGUAUUUUUACCAGGAUUGAACUGCUUUUGAGCAACAUUAGCUGACAAGUUAUGUAUAACAUCACUUGCAAUUUUUCCUCUCUUUUGUUCCACUCGAUUUUCAUGACUCAGUAACAAUGAAUAAACUCAUCAAGAUUGAUAUUAUCUCCUCUAGCUAACACAAUAGUGACUAAUGAUUCAUAAUCAGAUGAAUCCAAUCCAAUUAAAACAUGUUGAACAAAAUCAUUCACUUGAACAGGUUUUCCAGCUAAAGCUAAGCUAUCAGAUAUCCUUUUCAUUUUUGCAAAAUAAUCAAUCAUGGACAUUGAGCCUUUUUUAAGAGUUUGGAUAUGCAUUUUUAGAGGCAUUAUUCUAGCUUGGGACUGAGAGACAAACAUACUUGUAAGUGUAUCCAGUAGCUCUUUUGCAGUUGAGCAGUGGAUCACUGUUGUCAGCAGAUUUGGCUGAAUGGAUGACAUCAUCCAACUCAGAAUCAAUUGAUCCGUCUUUAUCCACAUUGUGUAAGCUGGAUUGAUCUCUUGAUUCUCUGUUCCAGUUGAGAAACCAGCGAAAGAGCUCGUAGCAGAGAAAUUUUUUUUUUGGACAGACUUGAUUUCCAUUGAUGAAAUCUUCUAAACCAUUUCCUUUGAUGGAUGUAAGGAUUUGAAUUCGCCAAACAAUGAAGUUAUUAUGAUCUAGUUUUACUUGAGUAAUAAAACUAUAGGAUCCAGAAUUUUGAUUUGAGUUUACCAUUUGUUUGCUCUGAUACCAUGAAAGAGUUCGUACACAGUGUUUGGUUUAAGAGAAACUACGAGAAAGUGAUAGAAAAUUAUAAAAGAAAGCUCUGAAAAUGAUCAUCUUAUUAUAUCAUUAACAAAUGAUUACAACUUGGUAUUUAUACUAAAUGAAAGAAGAAUCUCGUAGCUUAACAAUUUGUUGGAUCUAAUAUGCAUGCAAUACAGUUCGUUUGCUUUGAUGCUGAGCUAGAUAACUAACUAACACACGUAAGCAUUACCAACUGCUUCAUUUAAGCAGAUGUCCUCAUCUAUACCAUAUUAUCAUACUCUGUAACACAGAGCAAGAAAAUACAAUAAGAAGGAAGCAUCUGAAACAAGAAAAUGAAAAAAUCAGUUCAUUGUCUCCCGCAGCUGGCGCGAUGGCUACGGUUGAACGAGGCUACAAUGACAACUCCUGUCGAUGAGGUGCCUGAAUCACGAUCAUUGCCGCGAACUAGCUACGACUCUGAAUCACGACCACGAUCGGCCCUACGAGCUAAUAAAAAAAAUUGAAUCGAUUGGCAGCGGUGGAUGGUGCGUGAGUGAUGGGCUGACGAUAGUGAAAUUGACAGAGUGAGACGAUGAGACUGGAGAGGAAGAUGGUGAGACCGUGAGAGAGAGAGAGAGAGAGACCAACGAUGGAGAGAGUGGAAGUGAGCAUGAAAGAGAGAGAGAGAG
rnacentral:lncRNA from 1 species